CGCGUAGGCGGCCUGAUAAGUCAGAUGUGAAAGUCCACGGCUCAACCGUAGAAGUGCAUUUGAAACUGUCAGGCUUGAGUAUCGGAGGGGAGUGUGGAAUUCCCGGUGUAGAGGUGAAAUUCGUAGAGAUCGGGAGGAACACCGGUGGCGAAGGCGACACUCUGGACGAAUACUGACGCUGAGGCGCGAAAGCGUGGGGAGCAAACA
rnacentral:rRNA from 1 species